CGCCGACCUCCUCUGCCCUGAGAGCGCGUCCGGUGCGGGCGGAGUCGGAUGGACUCUGGCUUCACGCCUCGCGCGGGCACACCUUCUCCCGGGCACUGAGGCCCAGUUCUUAGGGGAGGCAGAGUCCUUCUGGAGUUUGACCCUUGGAUUCCAUCCAGAGCAGCCUCCAAAAUGACACCUUUGAAGUUGUGUAUCGAGCUGGGGGAUGUAAAGGGAGGAGAAGAAAGAAGAUGAAGAGAUACCAGCCAGCCUUAAGGAGUGGACAUCCUGCCUGGUGAAACUGAACAAGACACCGACCGCAUGU
rnacentral:lncRNA from 1 species